CCUCCUUAUAGAUGGCAUUCGGUCANCAAGAAUUCACAACAAGUUGUUCUUUAGUUUAGCUAGUAUUUAUUAUUAGCGCUUUGCCUUGACAGGCAGACACAGGCCUGUAGCUCAGCUGGUUAGAGCACCGUGUUGAUAACGCGGGGGUCGGCAGUUCAAGUCUGCCCAGGCCUACCAUUUAUUUACGGGGCCAUAGCUCAGUUGGUAGAGCGCCUGCCUUGCACGCAGGAGGUCAACGGUUCGACUCCGUUUGGCUCCACCAUAAUAAAUACGAUAGUAGAUAUAUNAAACAAGCAUAAACAGAAACAAAUAAUUCAGAUAUUACAUCAUACGAUUAUUUCUUUCUGUNUUAUACAGAACUUAUGACUCGACGAGAGCGUAAGAACUAUUUAAAAACAUAGAUAUGAGUCUGGGUUANGAACACGUGUUCACGCGUUGUUCCUAACCUUAAUAACUCACUACUUAACGACAUCAGUUGUUAUCCCAGUAGUGAGUUAUUAAAAAAGUAAGAGAACUGAAUCAGCGUAUAAA
rnacentral:tRNA from 1 species